GUGACAGGCAGACAACCGUCUUCGUCAGGAAGGUGCAUUCUUAGUGCAUGCUUCCCAUACAUGCUCAACCUUUGGAGCCAUGAGGUCUGGAUGUAGAACUCACAGCUACUUCUCCAUAAUCAUGUCUACCUGUGUGCUGCCCUACUUUCCUACAUGAUCACAGUGGAUUAAAACUCUGAAACUAUAAGCAA